UACAUGGGGUGCAAACGUUGCUCGGAAUUAUUGGGCGUAAAGCGCACGUAGGCGGUUUGUUAAGUCGGAUGUGAAAUCCCUCGGCUCAACUGAGGAAGUGCAUCCGAAACUGGCAAGCUUGAGUACGAAAGAGGGUCGCGGAAUUCCCGGUGUAGAGGUGAAAUGCGCAGAUAUCAGGAAGAACACCCGUGGCUAAGGCGGCUCUCUAGUACGGUACUGACGCUGAGACGCGAAAGCGUGGGGAGCGAACAGG
rnacentral:rRNA from 1 species